GCCCUCCAGCGGGAGGAAGGGCCAGGGCCGCAGCCCUGAGCGGGGAGGUGGCACGGGGAGGACAGGAUGGGCGUUCCAGAGUGGCGUUGCCCAACUCGCUCUCUGUUUUAUUUUUAGUGUAAGGUAGUGCCUGGCGCAUGGUUGGUGCCCAGUAUUUGUCGGAAAAACAUGGGUGGCAAAGAACUUGGUCGCCGGAUCUCGAGGGCAAACUGCAGCCAUUGGAAGUCUUGAGCACAGAGAGAUACGUGGACGGGAAGGGCCAUAGAAUCCCAAUAUGGGGUUGGUGAGGGAGGAUUCUUGACUGAAAGGAUGUUCGCAGGUCUUGAGGGAAACUAGUCGUUAAGGCCUUUGAACAUGUCGCUAAGGAAUUUGAGAUAGGAUUGGAGUGGGGUUACCCUGGUGUUUGCUGAAGCAGUCCAGGGCGAGGAGGUGAGAAAUAGAGGUGUUCAUGGUGUAUCGUCUAAUGUAUGGAAAGGGAACAGUGGCAGAUUGAAUAACGGUAGUAAAUUUUGUUUCUUGGAGAGAAGCACUAAAUUUGAGAAGAGUGAAAAUAAGCGUUGAAGCUGCUGUUCUCAUGUUUGUUUUUCCAGGGGCCCAGUGAGAAUCAAGACCUUUGCUAUGUGUUCCUCAAGGUGUUGUCCGGAGCAUCUGGGUGUGUCAGAAAGUCCAGACUCUGACCUUAUAUGUUCAAGACUCAACCCUGCCAGCCCCUAGCUCUGUGGCCUUUGGCUGCUGCGAUCUGCUGGAGCCGAUAGCCCAGCUGCAUCUUCUGGGCAGUGCCAUCCUCCUCCAGGGCAGUGAUGAUCUGAAACACAGAGACCAGCUCAAGAGGGGAGACCAUCAGGCUCCUACCUGCCUUUGCCGCAGACAUCAAGAGGCCUCCUCAGGUGCCACAGCAGUUAUGGGAAGGAGCCCAGGAAACCCCAUGAGCCACCUUAUCUUAUUCCUCAGGGCCACAUAGGUGGGAGGCGAUUAUGACCGCAGAGUUGCUGUGGGGUUUUAAGGAUCAGUGUGGUGGGGAAUUAAGUAGUUUACUCACGAACCUAGCACUCACGGUAACAACUAUCACCUCCCCUGGUAAAAUCACUUUGGACACCAGCCUCACCCACCAUGUUGGCCCUCUUCCCAUGAACCUCCUAGAAGCCCUGCUCCACCCGUCCUGGCUCCACCGCCCACCAGACAAGCAAUUCCUGAAUUCCUACAAGCCAGGUGCUGGGCAAGGAGCGAGGACCUGUCAGUGAAGACAGGUGUGAUCCCUGCCUCAUGGGACUCACUGAAGGGGAGGCAGUACUGACCAAACUCCACAAGGGGACUGGUAUGUCACUAGCCACACCUCCCUCACAUCAGGACCUACGCUGCUCAGAGCAAAGGUCUGGCACUUGGGCUUCACACAUGGGCAUCACUCCUUUGUUAAAUGCCUGUCCCAACUCCAGGCCUGGGCCAAGAGGCAGACCCCUCAUCUUAGAGCAGCAAUGGCCACAUUCCUGGGCGAUGCAAAUGUCUGGGUAGCCAAUUCCAACAGGCACUCAGUGGAUUGAUGGGUGGACACUCUGAUCCUGAGGCCCAGUCCAGGAAAUCUCCCAGAAAGCCCCUCGCUGGCUCUGCUGUGCCCUCACCCACCCCACCCCUUUCCUGGGUUCUCCUCUCUGGCAGCCCAUGCAGCCCAGCUGGGCCCGCACCCACAGAGGUGGCCUGCACAGCACACUGCCACAUGCAGACUCAGGUAGGGUCUGAGUAAGCACAGGGUUGGGGCAGAGGUGGCCACUGCAUGUGCCUCCCAGCACAUCCUACAUACCAUCUCCGGGCCCCGGUAAAUCCCCAGCUACCCACCACCACCCGACACCACACCUGGGAGCCCUGAGGAGCCGGACAGGGAGGGCGGUGCACACAAGAGCCCAGUUAAUAGCAGGAAGCAGCUGAAGAACAGGGACUUUUCAAGCCAAGGGGCCCUGCCCCCCACCUCCCACUCUGUGCCCGAAGACCCAAAGUCUCCACACUCCACAGACCCAGACACUUUCUCACAUCACCCCGGGUUCUGCCCACCUGGUCAUAGUAUUUGUUGAUAUACUUGUAGAGCUCAUGCAAGGCCACUCUCGUCCCCAGGUCUCCAGAGUAGUUCUAGGGAGGAGGAGAAACCAGAGGUGAGAGAGAGGGGUGCUGCCAGCCACCACAGGAAGUCCAAGACCACAGAGAAAGGGAGGGGGUUGGAGGGACCUGGGAGGUGGAGGAAGGAAUGGGGCCCUAUGGUGGGAAGCACAGCCCCUCUACAGACACAGAAUCCCAGGCCAGGCGUGCUCAGCUGGGGACAGGAUAGGGCCAAAGGUCCCCCUUGCAGGAUAAUCCCCAGUCUGCAGUUUCACCAGGGCCUGAGGUCUCCACUGGGCCCUGCCUCUCUCCCUCUCAGGUCCCAGCUGGGACCCUCUGUCAUCCCAGGCGAUGGCAGAGCCAAGCAGCAUAAAAGCCGCUCACAAGCUCAGAUCCGGCAUAGUUCUGCUCUGAUCUCUUUCAGUCUUUCCUGAGGUCACACCCAGGCAGGCCAGGGACAGAAUCCCUGCCACCUCACUGCCUUGGAACUGUCUCUACAAACCCUCAAAGGGCUGGAGACAUCCAAGCACCUGGCUGAGUCAGGUUGGGAGGCAGCCAGGACAAGACCCCUGCUGCUCUCUGAUGAGAGCCUAGAGCCCUGGUCUUUUACAGAGGCAGUGGCAACACUCCACUUAUGCCCCAAGGGCUUCCCUGCAAAUUGGCUAUGUGAGGGGGAUGGUGUGAGGGGGCAGGCGGGACCCUGGUGGCAGGAGGUCUGUGUCAACUCAAGAGGCAGGAGGAGGGCCAUACCCUGGACAGCUCGGCCAGGAUGGAGUUCAUCUCUUGAUCACUGGCGGGGAUGGUCUGUCGGAUGUCUGCAUAAUACCUGCCAGAGAUCAUGGGUCCAGUAGCUGCUGGGCAGUCAACCCCACUCCAGGCCCACCCAUGGGCCUCAGCUGUCAACACCCACCAAUCUGUCCAGCCAUUAGCCACCAGACCCAAGCCCUUCCCCUCAUACCUUUCCACCAUCCGUUUGUAACGGGGAAUAUCCCGAGCAUACAGAAGUUUGUUGAUGGGGGAGUCCUAGGUGCCAGCAGGCAAAUAGUGCAAGGGAAAGAAGGAUGACAGCCCCUGUUAGGGUGACCAUCUGUUCCAAUUCUCUCAAGACUGUUUCAGUUUUAAAACUACAAGUCCUAAAUCUCAGGGCAGGCAACCAGAAUGGUUGGCCACCCCAGCCCUCCUGCUAGGACCUCCUGCCCUCCUACCCCUCCACCAACAUCCAGUCUCUGCUGUCAUCACCCCAAGCUUCUUCCCAUCUCACUCCAAGGUCAUCUAUCAACUCAAUGUGCCUCUGCCUGGACCCAGCAGGGAACUGGCACACAGGCCAAGGAGGUUGAAGUCCUAUGUGGAGCCUUAAUACUGCUUUGCCACAUGCUGUUUGCUUCCCACGUAAUCAUUUUAAAAAUCAGGAAACUAAUCCUGAAAUCUAAUUAAAUUGCCACAGACUCCCUCACUCUGGCAUUGCUGCACUGAGAUUUGAAGCAGGUCUCGCUGACCAGAGCCCACAAUCUGACACAGCCAGACACGUCCUCUACCACCAAACUGGGCUCCAGUCCCAGCUGUGCUCUACCGGCUGUGGGCUCUGGGCAGCACAAUUCCAUUGCCUGGAGCUACUGCCUCAUCCUAUAGCUGUUGGGCAAGUGAGGCAAGGUCGCACCACCCCUUGUGAGCAGGGGCACCAGUGCUGGGCCCAAGGCAAGAGACCAGCUUCUCACCAACUCUCCAUGGAGGCCCUUGGCAUCACAGUUUGCACUAUUCCUGAGCUCCGAGGACUGCUGGGAAGGGGAGGUGUGUGAAGAUCAGGCAAAGGGACACAGCCACCACAGAGGACACACCCCGGACGUGACCCCUGGGUCUCUUGAGUGGCCCUGCGGUUCUCAGCUCAUUGUAGGCAGAGUGAUAAGCACACACAGAACAAAAAUGUCUCCCAAAAGAUAGCACUACAGAAUGGACCUUUCUAUCUUGUUUCGUCAUUGAGGUCUAGACUCAGAUCUCUCAAGAGGUCCCAGGCAAUGGCAGCCCAGGGGAGCGGGCUAAGCAGAGUCUGUUCACAGACAGGUGGAGCCAUGAAGGCCCCACCUGCUGGGUGCCUGAGCAGUCACAGCAGUGACCCAGAUCUGUCAUAGGUCUCUCUGGGUUCUGACCACCUGACUACAUGCCCCUACCCUCUGUACUACCAGGCUGCCCCGACGACUUCUCUGCGUUCCACCCCUGUGUCAGCACAUCCCUCCACACCCGGUCCUCCCUGACCUCGCCUCCCCUCUUUUACACUUGCAGGCGGACGCCUCCACUGUCUUUGGGAGUCAAAUCCCCCAGGUGGCCUGGAGCUGCUGUGUGAAUACAGAAUCUUUGUCUCCACCUGGACAUCACCUCUUGGCCCCACCAACACCUUCGGUUUACCUCCUCCAAGUCUGAGCUCACCACAGCUCAGAGGCCCAGGGGUCUUAGCUAACCCCUCUCUUUUCCCCCUCCACCAGAUCCAACCCACAACUUCUGCCUGCCCUGUACCCUCUGGUGCGAGCUUGUAUCUGGACACCACUCGUUCCAAGGAAAGCACAGCUUCCUCUCUGGACUCCAGCCCCCAUCCACACAUGAUUGCCGGGAGGUUCCACCUGACUCUCAGGCCUGACCACCCAACCCCUGUGCUCAGGCCUUCAGUGGCUCCUAUCAUCCUUGCGGUGAGCCCAGCCCCAACAGGCUGCACUUGUUCUUAAACCUGUGAAUCAGCACCCAUGCCGCCUGCUCUUGCUCAUCCUCAAAGGAUGAGACACAGUCACCUCCUAGGGAGCCCAGGGACAAAGCCUGGCCUGGGGCUUGCAGUCAAAGGCCUCCCAUAUCCUCCUUGACAUCCCCAGAAAGCCUGGAAUCUGUGUUUGCACAGCACUAUCCACCCUUGGUCGCACUGUCCACCCUGACCCACUCACC